AAAAAGAAUACCCCAAAACUCUUGCUGAAAACCCUAGUUCUAGAGAGAGAGAGAGAGGGGAGAGAGAGAAAGAGAAAGAUAACCCUGCAGAAAAUCAGGGAAAUUCAGAGAAAAUACAGGAAAUUCAGAGGGGAACGUAGACUAAGUUGAAGAAGCAGAAAUCAAGGUCCAAAUGGAAGGAGAGCUCCACUAGUUAGGUUCUCCAAGAUACUACCAUUUUGACAUGUAUUGUAGGUUGGCAGGAAGGCAAUAAGGAUACUAAGCGUGUGUUCAGUUUUGGAAAAUGUUGUAUGAAAAGUACAGCCAAAUGUAAAGAUUACUAAAUGAAAAAACGUUUUUUGUCGAAAUUUCCGAUUUCCGUCACCUUCGAAAUCAAAAUGGCACUCAAUUUCCAUCUUGCAAAAUUUCCAUCGAAAUCUCAACGAAUCAUCCAAAAUUUAUCGAAAUCUUGAAAUUUUAGCGGAACUUGUUGAAAUUUUAACUAUACAGUGAAAUUUCGUCAAAAUUCAAAUGAGAGAAUUAGGAGUGAAGUGAAAUUUCUCUCUUUUUAUUUUAUUGAAACAAAAAAUUAUUACAAGUGCUUUUGAAAUUAUAUGAAAAAAUAAACUUACAGUAACAUUUUAUUUAACCAUUCAUGUCUAUAUUAUCAUUAUUUGUACAAUAAAUAAUAUUUAAAUGAUUUAUGAAUUUUAUUUGUAUUAACUGUGUAUAUUUAAUGUACCUUAUCUUAUAAAUAUGUUUGAUACACAUACUAUUUUAUAACUUUUCCACCUCAUACAAAACAUAGAUGUAUUUAAUUUGUAAUAUAUUAGUCCUAAAACUUAUAUUAUUAUACCUUGUAUAUAUAUAUAUGUUUUGUGUUUUCAACGUUCACUCUUAAUUGACUUUUAACUUGGUUCCAAAUGAUGAUUUGUUAAACAAAUUCUUGCCUAGGCCUAAUGACCCCAUUGGUUUUUAGAUGCAGUCACGGCUGGUCAUGUGCCAAAAAAAACUAGGGACGUGAUAAUACACACAGCAUCAACUCAAAGGAAGAGAACACCUGCCAGAUCCAAAUGCCACGCCCUUGGUGUCCUCGUCUUAUGAUCCCAUUUCCCAUGAUACAGAUCUUCAUAUUGCUUUAUGGAGAGGUAAAUGCACCUGUAGCCAUCACCCAAUCUCUAAUUUUGUCUAUUUUUGGUCUGUUGUCACCCUCGUAGAACUCAAUUGUUACCACUUCAUCCAAUGUUUCCCUCCCCAAGUCUGUGUUUAAAUAAUUAUCCUACUCUGGAUGGAAAGCUGCAACGGUUGGAGAUAUGCGUGCCUUAUGAUGAGGCUGUUCAUUGUACACAAUGAAGGUCAAUCCUGACGGCUUUGUGGUUCACUUGAAGACCCAUGUUGUUGGCAAAGGAUAUACUCAAGUUGGACUAUUUUGAUAGAGUCGCCUAACUGCCAUUGGUUCAUUUUUCUAUCUUUUUAGCUACAUCUGGCCAUUGGCCUUCACAUCAGUAAGAUGUGAAAGAAUGGCUUCCUCCCUGGUGAUCUUCAAGAAAUCUACAUGGAGUAACCACAAGUACUUCUUGUUCAGUGGGAGUUAGGAUUAGUCUGUUGGCUAAGAAAUUCUGAUACGGUGUAAAGUAGUCACCCAGAGCAUGGUUUGGUCUUGAGCAGUGUGUAGCAGAUCACUCUAUUGCCUUGCUGCUUCCAGUAGGAUUUUGCUCAUUGUGUAUGUGGAUGAUACUAUGAUUACUGGCAGAAAUAAUCAGGUAUCUAUAGCCUAGUUAUAAAGCCAAAUCAUUAUAAAUCGUUUGAGCAUCAGCCUCCUUUACUCCUUUGAUUUCGCUGAUUUUUAUUAAAUUCAAGCAAUAAGAACCUAUUCUUUAAUUUUUUGUUACUAUUAUGAAAGUUUACUAAUCCACUUCACACCCCCCCCCCCUCCUUGGAUUUGGUGUUUUUAGAAAAACAGAAAUUAAAUGCUUCAAAGUUUGCAGAAACAUGAUCCUUAAGAUGAAAUUCGCCCCACGAGUGGCAAACAGAUACAAAGCAAACUUUGUGGCUGCUUGGCCCUGGUAACACGAUCGAAUGUUUGGUGAUAAUCAAGAUGCCAGUUAUAUUGUGAGCAAUCCAGUGUUUCAUGCGAGGAUAAAACAUAUUGAAGUUGGCAAUCAUUUGCGAGGGAUGUUGUGUUGGUUGUAAGGACUCCCUUCAUGAAACCUGCGAAUCAGUGAGAUGUUUUCACGAAAACCUUAUUUUAAGUUUGCCAAGUCUAAUGAUCAUAAUAAAUAUGGGGUUAGGUGAUAUUUAUGCGCCUCAAUGGGGAGUGUUAGAAGAGAAUAUGUUAUUUUAGUAAUUAGGUUGUGCAAGUGGGGAUAUAUUUGUCAGUAUAUAGAAGGCUGACCUGGAGCUGUAAGAAGACUCCAGGAAACUGCCACCUAAUUUUUCCUCUU